rnacentral:piRNA from 1 species
CGCAGACCCACUGUUGACUUUCACCCC